GGCAGUGUAGCACAGUUAGUAGAGUAUUGUCUAGCAUGCACACGGUCCUGGGUUCAAACCCUAGCAUUGUAA
rnacentral:tRNA from 1 species